GAUGAACGCUAGCGGGAGGCCUAACACAUGCAAGCCGAGCGGUAUUUCUUCUUCGGGAGAGAGAGAGCGGCGUACGGGUGCGGAACACGUGUGCAACCUGCCUUUAUCUAGAGGAUAGCUUUUCGAAAGGAAGAUUAAUACUCUAUAAUAUAUUAAUCGGCAUCAAUUGAUAUUGAAAAUUCCGGUGGAUAGAGAUGGGCACGCGCAAGCUUAGCUAGUUGGUGAGGUAACGGCGCACCAAGGCAAUGAGCUGUAGGGGGCCUGAGAGGGUGAUCCCCCACACUGGUACUGAGACACGGACCAGACUCCUACGGGAGGCAGCAGUGAGGAAUAUUGGUCAAUGGGUGCAAGCCUGAACCAGCCAUCCCGCGUGAAGUAUUAAGGUCCUAUGGAUUGUAAACUUCUUUUGUAUAGGGAUAAACCUACCCUCGUGAGGGUAGCUGAAGGUACUAUACGAAUAAGCACCGGCUAACUCCGUGCCAGCAGCCGCAGUAA
rnacentral:rRNA from 1 species